UGAAAGAAGGUUUUUUCAUUCUUGUUUCAUUCAUGUGUUGUGAGAUGUUAAAGAACAAAGAACUGUUUCACUGAUCAAAUGGGUCAAUAGUUAGAUAUCUGUUGAACUUUUUAGGUUGAAAGUCAGUAAUGCAGCCAGUUGAUUGCAAAUGUUUAUUCCCAUCAUUUAUGUUUACUUAUUUACUGAGUUCAGGUUUAGAUUUUGAAAGCAGGAGUUGUAACUAUGAUAAGUUCACUCAGCAUCACUGUUGAUUGGUUAGCUCUGUGACAUGUGUGCAGGAACCAGGAAGUGUGAAAAUCUGUUUCUGAACGUUGUCCUUCUCCAUCCUGCUCUCUGAUGAGGGAAACGAGGAGAACCGGGCCCACAGCGGGUUUAUCCGCCAUCAUUAUCUGCUUCUAUGCUAACUUAUAGCAGAGUCUUCACAACUUCUAGUUUCCUCAGCAUGGGCUGCAGCAGGUCCUGGAUCUUACGAUCCCCCUUGCAGAUAUGAAGCACAUUCUCGUUGAUUUCUUCGAUGGACUUCUCCAGCCCGUAGUGCUGGAUGAUGAUUUGAGCCAUUUCACCUCUGGGUCUUUUGCGCUUCUCCUGCUCGGGGAUUUUGUUUAGAUACGUCAGCAUCCGCUUGUACUGAUAAUCUGUUAGUUCCUCCAGGAUCGAGCUCAGUUUUUCCCCCAAUUGUUUUUCAAGUUUGGUCACCUGAACACAAACACCAGAACGAUCAGAGGCCAGAGGUAAUAUGAGACGUCUACUAGGUUUAGUGACUAGAUUGUUAAACUAUGUGAAUGGAAUGAAACCCUCCCCAUAAAACUGAAUGCUGUUCCUCUUCCUCCUGACUGGUCAGCGAGCAGAGACUUUGAACAUUAUAAAACCUUACAAUAAAUACUGUUUAGGAA